rnacentral:rRNA from 1 species
UACGUAGGGGGCAAGCGUUGUCCGGAAUCAUUGGGCGUAAAGAGCGUGUAGGCGGCCCGAUAAGUCCGCUGUGAAAGUCCAGGGCUCAACCCUGGAAUGCCGGUGGAUACUGUCGGGCUCGAAUCCGGAAGAGGUGAGUGGAAUUCCUGGUGUAGCGGUGAAAUGACGCAGAUAUCAGGAGGAACACCAAUGGCGAAGGCAGCUCACUGGGACGGUAUUGACGCUGAGGAGCGAAAGCGUGGGUAGCAAACAGG